AAGUCGUAACAAGGUUUCCGUAGGUGAACCUGCGGAAGGAUCAUUAAUGAAUAACUUUGGCGUGGUUGUCGCUGGCUUCUAGGAGCAUUGUGCACACCCGUCAUCUUUAUCUUUCCACCUGUGCACCAAAUGUAGAUCUGGAUAACUCUCGCUUUCGAGCGGACUCGAGGAUUGCUGUGUCGCAAGGCCCAGCUCUCUUUGAAUUUCCAGGUCUAUGUCUUUUAUACACCCCAAUUGAAUGAUAACGAAUGUAAUCAAUGGGCUCUAAGCCUAUAAAACAAAAUACAACUUUCAGCAACGGAUCUCUUGGCUCUC
rnacentral:misc_RNA from 1 species